rnacentral:rRNA from 1 species
GAACGCUGGCGGCAUGCCUUACACAUGCAAGGUCGAACGGCAGCACGGGAGCAAUCCUGGUGGCGAGUGGCGAACGGGUGAGUAAUAUAUCGGAACGUGCCCAGUCGUGGGGGAUAACGUAGCGAAAGUUACGCUAAUACCGCAUACGAUCUAAGGAUGAAAGCGGGGGGACUCGCAAGAGCCUCGCGCGAUUGGAGCGGCCGAUAUCAGAUUAGGUAGUUGGUGGGGUAAAGGCUCACCAAGCCAACGAUCUGUAGCUGGUCUGAGAGGACGACCAGCCACACUGGAACUGAGACACGGUCCAGACUCCUACGGGAGGCAGCAGUGGGGAAUUUUGGACAAUGGACGCAAGUCUGAUCCAGCCAUUCCGCGUGCAGGAUGAAGGCCCUCGGGUUGUAAACUGCUUUUGUACGGAACGAAAAGGUUUCUAUUAAUACUAGGAGCUCAUGACGGUACCGUAAGAAUAAGCACCGGCUAACUACGUG